GAUGAACGCUGGCGGCGUGCUUAACACAUGCAAGUCGAACGGGAAUUGCUUUUUAGCUUGCUAAGUUGCAAUUCUAGUGGCGGACGGGUGAGUAACGCGUGAGUAACCUGCCCUUUACCGGGGGAUAACACUUAGAAAUAGGUGCUAAUACCGCAUAAGCGCACGAUAUCGCAUGAUAACGUGUGAAAAACUCCGGUGGUAAAGGAUGGACUCGCGUCUGAUUAGCCAGUUGGUGAGGUAACGGCCCACCAAGGCGACGAUCAGUAGGGGUUCUGAGAGGAAGGUCCCCCACAUUGGAACUGAGACACGGUCCAAACUCC
rnacentral:rRNA from 1 species